UUUCUUCGGAAUGAACUUAAGUGGAUUAGUGGCGAACGGGUGAGUAACACGUGAGUAACCUGCCUUACACAAGGGGAUAGCCUCUGGAAACGGAGAAUAAUACCCUAUAAAGUCUAAUCAGCCCAUGCUGGAAAGACCAAAGAUUUAUCGGUGUAAGAUGGACUUGCGUCUGAUUAGCUAGUUGGUGAGAUAAAAGCUCACCAAGGCGACGAUCAGUAGCCGGCUUGAGAGAGUGUACGGCCACAUUGGGACUGAGACACGGCCCAAACUCCUACGGGAGGCAGCAGUGGGGAAUUUUGCACAAUGGGGGAAACCCUGAUGCAGCGACGCCGCGUGAUUUAGAAGGCCUUCGGGUUGUAAAAAUCUUUUUUACGGGAUGAAAAUGACAGUACCGUAAGAAUAAGGUCCGGCUAAAUACGUGCCAGCAGCCGCGGUAAUACGUAUGGACCGAGCGUUGUCCGGAAUCAUUGGGCGUAAAGGGUACGUAGGCGGCCUAGUAAGUUAGAAGUUAAAGAAUAUAGCUCAACUAUAUAAAGCUUUUAAAACUGCUAGGCUUGAGAGAUGGAAGGGAAAGUGGAAUUCCUAGUGUAGCGGUGAAAUGCGCAGAUAUUAGGAAGAAUACCGGUGGCGAAGGCGACUUUCUGGUCAUCAUCUGACGCUGAGGUACGAAAGCGUGGGUAGCAAACAGGAUUAGAUACCCUGGUAGUCCACGCUGUAAACGAUGAGUGUUAGGUUCUUGGAAUAAUCUGGGAGCCGCAGCUAACGCAUUAAACACUCCGCCUGGGGAGUACGCACGCAAGUGUG
rnacentral:rRNA from 1 species